AAGCGGUGAUGAUAUUUGCGCACGAGUGGUGAAAAUGGGUCUCCACAAUUUGUCAUCGGGACGAUCAGCAGUGCAUCUGAGCUU